UAAAUCCCAGUGAAAACUUCUGAGGAGACAUGGCAAAUACUAGAGGGAGGAAGAAGUCAUGAACAACUUGCUGGAUGAGAAAAGAAGAAGGACUGUGGAGAGGAGUCAAGGUCUGCAGUCAG
rnacentral:lncRNA from 1 species